GAUGAACGCUGGCGGCGUGCCUAAUACAUGCAAGUUGAACGCUGAAGGAUGAUCUUGCUCUUCAGGAUGAGUUGCGCACGUGGGAGUAACGCGUAGGUAGCCUCCCUGGUAGCGGGGGAGAACUCUUUGAAACGAUAACUAUUACCGCGUAUCAACAGUUAUUACAUGAUAAUUAAUUAUAAGAGGCAACUUCUCCACUACCAGAUAGAAUUGCGUUGUGUUAGCUAGUUGGUGAGGUAACGGCUCACCAAGGCGACGAUACAUAGACGACCUGAGAGGGUGAUCGGCCACACUGGGACUGAGACACGGCCCAGACUCCUACGGGAGGCAGCAGUAGGGAAUCUUCGGCAAUGGAAGGAAGUCUGACCGAGCAACGCCGAGUGAGUGAAGAAGGUUUUCGGAUCGUAAAGCUCUGUUGUAAGAGAAGAACGAGGGUGAGAGUGGAAAGUUCACCAUGUGACGGUAUCUGACCAGAAAGGGACGGCUAACUACGUG
rnacentral:rRNA from 1 species